AACAUUCAGUUUUAAAUUUAAAACUUUUUGAUUCGGGAGCCACAUUGGGUUAAAAUGUCUGACUAUGUCAAGGAAACGGGAUCCAGUCUUAAAUCCAAUAAUUUGAAUUUAAGUCCUUAAUAUGUCUAAAAUUCUCCUCAAAUCUCAUAAAAGGUCUUAAAUACAAUUUUGAAAGGUUUUAAAAAUCUAUCGACGUUUCUUUUAUUUAAAACAUGCAUAAACUUCAAAAGAUCAUCAGGACUCCUCUUCCUCCUACCCGGGAAAUCGCAAAAAGACGCUGCCUGACCAGGGCUCAGAAAACAUGCAGAGACUCCUCCCAUCCCCACCAAGGACUGUUUUCACUGCUGGACUCUAGAAAGAGGUUCCGCAGCCUCCGUAGCAGAUGUAACAGCUUCUUCCCUCAGGCCAUAAGACUCUUGAACGCAUCAUAAUAAUCCCCUCAAUUCCCCCCAAAAACGGAUUAACUGGCUAGACUAUAAAGACAAUAUAACAUACAUCCAUAAAUGUGGAUCCAUAUGGGAAAGUGCAAUAUAUUUAUCUGUACAGUAAUCUAUUUAUUUAUAUCUGCACCUUAUUGCUCUUUUAUCCUGCACUACAAUGUGCUAAUGCAACAAAAUGUCGUUCUUAUCUGUACUGUAAAGUUCAAAUUUGAAUGAAAAUAAAAGUAAGUCUAAGUCUAACUUCAGUCUCGCUUUGAAAUGUUUCGAUAUAUGAGAACGCGAUAACGUAACUACACAGCGGAACUAACUGUGCUGCCCGCUCAGAAUUUAUGGAACACCAGCAGCUAUUGCUGUGCACGCGCAGGUGUGUGUUGACAGCUUAGUUAGCAAAGCAGCGGAGAAAACUUAACGAAAGCCCACGGCAAAGCCAAAUGACUUUCAUAAGAUGGGUAAGUGAAAGUUCAACGAUUUGUGUCUCCUGAAUGAUCAAUUUAAUGCAUGUUUGAAGUGGGUGGAUGGAAACGUAUAAAGUGUUUAGUACCCAGCUGUGCAGCCAUCGAGGAGCAGAGGUGGGUAGUAACGCACUACAUUUACUUUGUUACAUCUACUUGAGUAACUUUUGGGAUAAAUUGUACUUCUAAGAGUAGUUUUAAUGCAAUACACUUUUCUUGAGUAUAUUUAUAGAGAAGAAACGCUACUUUUACUCUGCUCCAUUUAUCUACAUUUAGCUCGCGACUGAAUUUUAUCGAUCUAUUAAUGCACGCUUUGUUUGUUUUGGUUUGUCAGAGAGACCUUCAAAGUAGGAUCUAUCGCAUGCCUGUUUCACCAAUUAAAUGCAGUCACUGGUGAUGUUUGACUCCGUUUCACCAAUCAAACAGAGGCAGGCGGUCACACGAUUAACUGCACAUACAGUUUCAGCGACAAACAACAACAAUGGCAGCAAAGCAGCACAACACAAUGGCAGAGACGACAACGAACGCUUCGCGUCAACCAGAAGAGGAAGAACACCCCUGGCCUCACAUACAAUCCAUGUUCACGCUUCAGACAUUUUAGCUUACAUGAACUCAACGUCAAAUUUGAGGAAGCACAUGGCGAGGGUUCACCCCAAUAAUUUGACAACAUACACAGACCUGAUAGAAUCCCACAGAAAGAGAAGAUCGUCUUCUGCUGAGAAACCCCCCAUCGAAAAUGCAAAGAUCACAAGCUGCCUUACGGUCUCUUCACGGCGGGUAACGCAGACAACACUUGGCAAGCUUGUGCUAAAUUUGUGAGGCUCAAUACAGCUGAAAUGACAUUUUUGACUGAGUACGCUGCUGGAUUGAAGCUUGUUGCCAAGGCCCUGAACAUCCUCCAGGGGCAAUCAUCAUUGCACAUGGGCUUCCUGCUGCCAACACUUCACCAGUUGCAGGACAAGCUGAAGAAGUUGGAGUCAUCUUGCAAAGUGUGUAGUGCAGGAGGGGAUCCAGAAACAUUUUGGAGAGAUGAUGAAACAACCUGAGCUGAUUGCAGCAGCUAUACUCCUACCAAAAUUCAGGACAUCCUGGACCACUCAUGAGAGCAUCUUAAAUGACGAUAAAUAUACUUACGGCCUCGACUACAUGAACAAUCACCUGGACACUGACUUGGACUUAGUCACUGAUGAAGAUGACUUCUUUGCAUCGCUGAGUACAGGACAUUGAAAAACAGGAGAGCUGGAGAGGUACCUUUCAUGUCCAUCCACUGGAGGUAUGGAUCUCUUGUAUUCCUUUCCUCAAAUCAAGAGCCUGUCACUGAAAAUCAACAAAGACCUCCCAGCAUCUGCAGCCUGUGGGACUUUUUAGUCACGCAGGACUCCUGUUCACGGCUAAAAGGUCACAGCUUCACAGUGUCAACUUUGAGAGCCAGUUGUUGUUGAAACUGAAUAACUGACUCUGCAAAACUUCACAUGCACACACGCACAGUCGCACACACACUCAAACAUGCAUACAAACACCAAUCAGAAGUGCACAGUGUGUUCUCAGGUGCAGCCCACACCUAUCAGAGUUUAUGGUUUACGUAAAGGCUAACUUGUUGUUUUCCUUUGUAAUCUCUGGCAACUGAGCCUAAGGUGCUGUUAAGUUAUUGUGGCUCAAUUUGCCUUAUUUUAUUUUAUUUUAAUGUAUUAUUAUUUAGUAUAUUAUUGUUGUAAUUGCUUAAGAGAUAUUCCUGGCUCUGAAUUUGUUCAUUGCUAUUUUUAUGUUUUUGUGCAUUAUUUGUUGCCUUCAUCAUUAAACAAACAGGUUACUCAUCA